AGGGUUUUUAAAUUUCAUAACUUGGUGUUGGUAAGCUGCUUUUAUAAUUGGUUAUCUGUUUCUCUUUUCCUUAGGAGCCUUGCAUCUUUUGGGAUUUCCUGAUCAUCUCAACUGCAGUUUGGCAUUUUUUCACUAGUGUUAUCCAGUCCUCAGGUGAAGCUGCUCUGUGUUGAAGAUGCUACAGACACCCAGCUGCAGAGCCCUGGGCCCAGGAGGCUCUAGGCACCGGAGGGGAGGUGAUCCAGGUGAGUCCCAGUGAGCAAGGGGUUCUGCCACCUUCUAACAGACAGUCCAGUGCUUCGGGGCCCCUGUUGGUAAGAGGUCACUGUGGAGGAGAGAGAAUGUGUGCAGCCUCAGAGGGCUGGAGCCACCUGCCAAUUAGGUUUGAUGGUCUUCAUCUGUCCUUGUACGGCACACGGUGAUGGCAGCAGCCUCCGACUGGGGUCGGAGCCAGUGGCCCGAGAACCUCUCAGCUCAGGGGAGGCGACCGAGUCAGUGAUCACAGGACCCUCUGAGCCAGCCGGGCGUCCUUCCUUCACAUCGAAGAUGGAUUCACAUCCCCAGCUGUGGGAAAGAUAAGUGGGGGACUCCCACCUGGAGAGGGGAUGAGAGCUGGGUCCAGUUUUAUGUUUAGGAGGGAGGGAUUGUCAAAUGAGCACAGGGGAAAGGGUCUGCCCUAACAGGCCCUUGGCACACAUAGGAGGAGCAGUUUACUUUUCAUCAUGGAGUAGGAUGUGCAGGGCAGAGCUGUUCAGGUCUGUGUCAUGUCCUUUGUCUG